UUUUCAGUUUUCCUCGGUUAUUAACUGCAGCCGGUUCCAUAAUUCGGCAGUUAACUGUCGAGGGGCAU
rnacentral:pre_miRNA from 1 species